GACAGCAGUCGCCACGGUAAUACGUAGGUGGCAAGCGCUGCCCGGAAUUAUUGGGCGUAAAGCGCGCGCAGGCGGAUAGGUCAGUCUGUCUUAAAAGUUCGGGGCUUAACCCCGUGAUGGGAUGGAAACUGCCAAUCUAGAGUAUCGGAGAGGAAAGUGGAAUUCCUAGUGUAGCGGUGAAAUGCGUAGAUAUAUGGAGGAACACCGGUGGCGAAGGCGGCUUACUGGUCCAUUACUGACGCUGAGGUGCGAAAGCGUGGGGAGCAAACAGGAUUAGAUACCCCUGUAGUCCCUGUCUCUUAUACA
rnacentral:rRNA from 1 species